rnacentral:rRNA from 1 species
CGGCGAACGGGUGAGUAACACGUAGGUGAUCUGCCCAUCAGACGGGGACAACGAUUGGAAACGAUCGCUAAUACCGGAUAGGACGAAAGUUUAAAGGUGCUUCUGGCACCGCUGAUGGAUGAGCCUGCGGCGCAUUAGCUAGUUGGUAGGGUAAAGGCCUACCAAGGCGACGAUGCGUAGCCGACCUGAGAGGGUGAACGGCCACACUGGGACUGAGACACGGCCCAGACUCCUACGGGAGGCAGCAUG